GAUGAACGCUGGCGGCGUGCCUAAUACAUGCAAGUCGAGUGAACGGACGAGAAGCUUGCUUCUCUGAUGUUAGCGGCGGACGGGUGAGUAACACGUGGAUAACCUACCUAUAAGACUGGGAUAACUUCGGGAAACCGUAGCUAAUACCGGAUAAUAUUUUGAACCGCAUGGUUCAAAAGUGAAAGACGGUCUUGCUGUCACUUAUAGAUGGAUCCGCGCUGCAUUAGCUAGUUGGUAAGGUAACGGCUUACCAAGGCAACGAUGCAUAGCCGACCUGAGAGGGUGAUCGGCCACACUGGAACUGAGACACGGUCCAGACUCCUACGGGAGGCAGCAGUAGGGAAUCUUCCGCAAUGGGCGAAAGCCUGACGGAGCAACGCCGCGUGAGUGAUGAAGGUCUUCGGAUCGUAAAACUCUGUUAUUAGGGAAGAACAUAUGUGUAAGUAACUGUGCACAUCUUGACGGUACCUAAUCAGAAAGCCACGGCCAACUACGUG
rnacentral:rRNA from 1 species